ensembl:misc_RNA Metazoa_SRP Metazoan signal recognition particle RNA
GCCAGACAUGUUGGAAUGCAUCUGUAGUCCUACCUACUUGGGAAGCUGAGGUGGGAGUACUGCUUGGGCCCAGGAGUUCUAGGUUGUAGUGCACUAUGCUGGUCAGGUGUCCACACUAAGUUCAGUAGCAAUAUGGUGACCUCCUGGGAAUGAGAGACCAUCAGGUUGCCUAAGAAGGGGUCAAACAGCCCAGGUCGGAAUGGAGCAGGUUCAAAACUUCAUGCUGAUCAAUAGUGGGAUCGUAUCUGUGAACAGCCACUGCACUCCAGCCUGGGCAACAGAGUCCUCGUCUAU